rnacentral:lncRNA from 1 species
UUAUUUAUGACAGAUACAGAGAGAGAGAGAGAGAGAGAGGCAGAGACACAGGCAGAGGGAGAAGCAGGCUCCAUGCACCGGGAGCCCGAUGUGGGAUUCGAUCCCGGGUCUCCAGGAUCACGCCCUGGGCCAAAGGCAGGCACCAAACCGCUGCGCCACCCAGGGAUCCCAAGCUUUUCCUUUUAAAUUUAGAAAUGGUUCCUUAUUUUUUUAGUUAAUUCUUAUUUCUGCAGUAUCUACAAUCAAUCAUGAUCAAUGCAGAUUGCCACUACACAUUACACAAGUUAAAUGUAUAAAGUCGGCAUAGAUCUUAUUCCCUGAGACAUGAGAUUUAUUUACUUACAACUCCCUUUUCCUAAUGUCUGGGAAGUAAGGUUCGUUUCUAUGUUCUGUCUGUAUAUCCCAUCCCAUAAAUCCUUUCCUGUUAACCCCCUAAGAGACAGGGAGGUUUUCUUCAAGCCUCAUAUGAUGCUAUCACAUAGCAGAUGCUCAAUACUUGCUGAUCUAUGACCCAUGCACAUGAUCUGCUCUGAUUUCUCCUCUUUGCCACUGGUCCCCACAGAGGUGUUGGAUGCUAGCACAUGUUGGGAAACCUGUGUCAGCUGAACCGGAAACCCCGAAUUCCUAACUUCAAGGAACAGGGCAGAGUUAUGUCUGAACUGGUUCAUGAGAAGGGAGUGAACACCAUGAAAAUAGUUUCUAGAUUCUUAGGACUCAGCAAUCUUAAAAAGAUUGACUGAAGCAGAAGGUCUAGAAAGAAGUAGGCUCAAUAAUGCCAACAUGUGGGGACACUGUUCCUUCAGCUUAGGCAAAAGAACAAAUGUAACUUGUAAGGACUGACCAAAGGUUCCUCCCCUAUGCCUGCCGCCACUUGAGGUGGGUGUUGGACGAGAUGCUUUAGAUGUGCUCAGGUUCUUAUGCUAUCUCCUUGAUUCUAUCAUUGCUCCCAUAAUACAGAUGAGGAAGCUGGGCUUGGAGAGAAGAAGCAAUGUUUCCAUGUUCGUAGAGCUAAGAUUCAAAUUCAUGUUUAUGUAAUUCCAAAGUCUCUGUGUAAACCAUCAC